UUAUGGCAAAUGUGUUGAUACCUGUUUCAUCAAUCUUAAUUAAUCCUGACUUAGAUAAUAAUUGAAAUAUUUUAAUAAAUUUUAUUACAUUUGUGAUAUAAUCGGGUGGAUGACGGUGGGAUCGAGAAUUAUAAUACAUACAUACCUAGUUAAUUUUGUUGAUUUCAUGAUUUCAUAAUAUUUUUCCAGGCGUAUUUGGUAUCUUUCUCAUGUUUAUGCUGGGGGGAAGGUAUAUGCAAUAAAAAAUAAUUUAAUCAUAUUCGCAUUUUUAGGCACGAGCUAAUAAAACAUAACACAAUAUGUAAAUAUGUUUAUCUCGGUUCAACCACUUGAUCGAUGUGAUAUACUUAUCAAUAUGCAAAACGUCCUUUGUUAAAAUUGACGUUGAGUUAGUAAACAACAGUACUACGAUUUAUGUAGAGAACCCAGCUACAGCGAAUUGACAAGUGAAUUAUUUGCAACAAACAGAAUACAAUGGCCUUCAAGUGGGUUGCUGACCAGUUCAAUACGCACUUUGGCAGUAAUACGACCCACAUCGCGAACAGUACCAGUGGACCAAUCCACGUCUCCAAAAGUUCAACGAUGAUGACCUUCAAGGUCGGAUGCGCUGGAUUAUUUUUCCGUCGUGGAUUCCACAGGGAAGAAAAUUGUGGAUAAUUAUCCCGUCAGAGCAAACGAUUCGUACGUCGUUACAAAAGAGAAGGGCUUUGUGCCGCAAAAAUACGGAUCUGGAAAUUUGCAUGAAAGAAGGUGAAUACCGUAAAAACUCAAAUAGUAGCCGGGGGCUACUAUAUAAAAAAUCGGUGGCUGGGACCUGGCUACUAUUUGAGCAAGGCUACUAUUUGGGCAAGGUCACUAUUUAUAAAAUUAUGAAGCUGGACACGGCUACUACUAGAAAGCAGCUAUUAUAAUUUUAUUUCCAGAAUCAAACUCAAAUUAAAUUUUAAUAACAGCACCAAAUUCUCCCUUAGAUUCGUAUUAGAUGACAAUUCUAUAGGUUAGGCCUGCUCUUAAUUUUAAUAAUUUAUCCCAUGAGCCGAAUUUCGUGUUCAAUUCGAUGUUGUAUAACUGAGAUUAAAUUGAAUUGCGAUUUAAUUACUUAAAUGAGCUGGCUAGGAGAUGUCUGGUUGGAUCUAUGUACAUUGGAAAUUGACGAACGUCUAUAAUUCAAAUAAGGCUACUAUUUGGGCACGGCUACAGUUUGAGCAGGGCUACUAUUUGAGCAAGGUCACUAUUUAUAAAAUUAUGAAAACAGGCGGGGCUACUAUUUGAGCAAGGGCUACUAUUUGAGUUUUUACGGUAAUCGAAUAAAAUGCAAGUAAAUUAUGAGAAAUAUUCAAACACAAUAUUUUUGCUAUACAGCGUCAGCUUAUCUUUUACCUGUCUAAUUGCGAAAAUUUGUUCGUCUGGUAAUACAUAAAUCAAGAUCAAUAAUAAGUAUGGUUAUCCACAAAGUUGCUGAUAAAGCUGUAUGCAUCCGUUCUGACUAAUAAAUCCCUGUUUGUGCGUUUGGUGCGCAAUUAA